AGCAGCCGCGGUAAUUCCAGCUCCAAUAGCGUAUAUUAAAGUUGUUGCAGUUAAAAAGCUCGUAGUUGAAUUUCGGGAUCAAGUUGUUGGUCGUGCCUCGGUACGCACUGGUGACAUUGGUUUCUCCCUUCUGAAGAACCUUGAUGUCAUUAAUUUGGUGUCUUGGGGAAUCAGGACUGUUACUUUGAAAAAAUUAGAGUGUUUAAAGCAGGCUCACGCUUGAAUACAUUAGCAUGGAAUAAUGAAAUAGGACGUUUGAUUCUAUUUUGUUGGUUUCUAGGAUCGACGUAAUGAUUAAUAGGGAUAGUUGGGGGCAUUAGUAUUCAAUUGUCAGAGGUGAAAUUCUUGGAUUUAUUGAAGACUAACUACUGCGAAAGCAUUUGCCAAGGAUGUUUUCAUUAAUCAAGAACGAAAGUUAGGGGAUCGAAGACGAUCAGAUACCGUCGUAGUCUUAACCAUAAACUAUGCCGACUAGGGAUCGGAUGAUGUUAAUUUUUUAAUGACUCAUUCGGCGCCUUACG
rnacentral:rRNA from 1 species